rnacentral:rRNA from 1 species
UGGGGAAUUUUGCACAAUGGGGGAAACCCUGAUGCAGCGACGCCGCGUGAUUUAGAAGGCCUUCGGGUUGUAAAAAUCUUUUCUAUGGGAAGAAAAUGACAGUACCUUAGGAAUAAGGACCGGCUAAUUACGUGCCAGCAGCCGCGGUAAUACGUAAGGUCCGAGCGUUGUCCGGAAUCAUUGGGCGUAAAGGGUACGUAGGCGGGUAAGCAAGUUAGAAGUGAAAUCCUAUAGCUCAACUAUAGUAAGCUUUUAAAACUGCUCAUCUUGAGGUAUGGAAGGGAAAGUGGAAUUCCUAGUGUAGCGGUGAAAUGCGCAGAUAUUAGGAGGAAUACCGGUGGCGAAGGCGACUUUCUGGCCAUAACCUGACGCUGAGGUACGAAAGCGUGGGUAGCAAACAGG